CUCCGAGCCCAAAAUACACGCCCGACGCACGCAGCGGCUCCCCUCCUCCGGUGCCGUAAGCUUUUCCCCGCUCCGCGGCAAGAAUCCGCGGGUCGCAGCGAGUGGAAAAAGGUUCCCCAUUUCCGAGCUGCCCCGAGGCAGGUUGGCGAGGCCGCCGUGGGAGGAUCGCGCUGUCGUUAGCGUGACGUUACGGCGCAUGGUUUAGAUCAAAGGGUCACAUUAGUUGCUUCAUGUGCUUCCCCCUCCAGUAUGAGCAGGGAAAAAAAUUCCUUCCGUUGGGCAAGUGACCGAGGAAGAGCUCCGGCGAUCUCCAAAAGGGAAGAUCCUCUUAUACUCAAAUAGUGUCAAGCAAUCAUCUUGCAAUCAAGCACCCUUUUUACCUAGUACUUCUCACUGAUGCUGAAGAUUUAUGUUUAUUCCCACCCCUAAUGUGCUGUGCCUAAAACGCUCAUUUAAGAACAAUUAAUACAAUGUCAUGAAGUCCUAUGAAAGUUAGUACUAUUUUGCUAUAUCAAAAAUGAACAACGGUAAUGAGCAAUGGAGGAAAAGCCACAAUUAGCCAGCCAGAAAUUGGUAAUGAGGGAAAAUUAAAGAGAUGCUAUUUAAAAGGCAAUUAAUCACUAAGUUCCAGCCCUGGAUCGUCAGGAAGCCAUGAAUAAUCUGACUGCAAACUUUGAAAGAGGCAUUUAUGGAUUGAAACUGACUUCUUAGACAUGACAGGAGGAUCUGGACCUCGGUUUAUGGCCAGCUGCUUAACAACUGUUUGAAGUUACUUACACCCUGGUUCCAAAGUUUCAACAGCCACUCCCCGCCACAGUCACAUGACAACACAUCAGUCCGAAGUAGGAAGAUCAGAAAAAUAAUGACAAUCCACACAGCAAUGUUGGGAGACUCUGCUGACCAGGAAAGCAGGAAUGUUGCAAAUACACCAGACAGUUGAAGAAGAAGCAAGGGCAUUGGAAGAAUAUCUGAAGGACAGUGAAGAAAAUGCACUGAAGGUAGUAUGUCAUGAAGGCUUACUGAGUACUGGAGAAGCCAAACUGGCCUACAAGAGAGACCAAAUGAAGAUUAGAAAAGAGACAUGGCAAAGCACAGUAUUACAUGUCCAAGUAAAUUAAAAAAAAAACAACAACCACCAGGCAAAGCAGUUAACAAGGCCUGGUAAUGGCUGAGAGCAAGAAAAUUAAAAAAAGGGACUGAGAGGCUAAUUCUGGCUGCACAAGACAGAACCUUAAGAACAAAGGCCAAAAGCCAGAAUUGAGAAGACAGCAGAUAUUGCUUCUGCAAAGAAGCUGAAGAAAGAGUGGACCACCUAGUUAGCUGCUACAAGAAAAGAUGACACAGACUGAUUAUAAACAAUGGCCUGACUAAGUACUGUAGCAACAAUGGCGCAUUGGAAUAUUUGCAAGAAAUGUCAUUUGUCUGCAGUAUUCUGGGACUUUAGAAUUCAAACAGACAAGCACCUGCCACAUAAAACACCAGACUUAACAAGUAUUAAUAAGAAAGACAAAAAAGUCUGGAUAAUGGAUAUUUCAUAAUGCCUGGAGAUAACUGAAUAUAAGAGAAGGAAUGGGGGGGACACAAAAUAUAAAGACCUGCAAAUAGAAGAGGAUUGGCAAAAAGCCCUCCCUCUAAAUUGGAGAUGUCAGAAAUGGAGGCUGAAAAGACCGACACUCUGUCACCCGGGUCAAACGCCACAAGAUGAGACCUUCAAUACAGGCAGGUGCGUCUCUGAAGAUAUCCCAACUUUUCCAGUGAAGGCGGUAUGUUAAAUGUUCUUAUUGAAGACAUUGGAGAAUCUGGUAAGCAAAUUUCUUUGAAACAAUGACCCAAGGGACUCAAAGUCUUUGUCUUUUUGUAUAAUUGUGUGAUCUCCAAGCCAGAUAUCAGUGGGUUGGGGCUUCUUUUCUGACUUAGCUUUUGGCCAGAGGAGCUCUGAUGUGAACAAAGGCAAAAGCCAAAAUGGAGCUGCUCACCUCACAGGGGAACCUUCCGGCUCCCCAUUGCUUCCUCAGAAAAAGAUUUUCAUGGACUCUCUAUAUCAGUGGUUCUCAACCUGUGGGUCGGGACCCCAUUUGGGGUCGAACGACCAUUUCAUGGGGGUCGCCAAACAACGCAGUCCACCAUU